ACCUGAUAUGUGUCCAAAUUGUUGUAAACAUUCAAGUAGACAUGGUAUGGUAGUAUCUAUCUCAAAUAAGUACAACAGAAUGUUGUCCACAUAAAGAGAAAUUGUGUGUACUGUGCCUUUAAUGUUGAAGCCCCUAAACCCUGAGGUGGUUCUAACGAGCUUUGCUAAGGGCUCAAUAGCCAAUGCAAACAGAGGGGGGCUAAGGGGGCAUCCUCGACGGGUUCUACGCUCUAAUGGACAAGGGUCUGAGCAAUAGGAAUUAGUAACAGCUGCUUUAGGGGACCAAUACAGCAAUUUUACCCAGUCAGUGAAUUCUGUACCUACUUUAAAUUUUUCCAUAGCAUAGAAAAAGAAGGGCAAUUCAACCCUAUUGAAUGCGUUUAAUGUAUCCAGAGAUACCACCCGACCCCAUACAUCUUUAUCCCUGGCUAACUGUAUUAUGUUCAGAAGCCUCCUGAUGUUAUUGUAGCAGGAUAGAUAUUUUACCGGCUUGGGUGAUUGCAGCCAUUCCAUUGGUUCCCAAGGCCCAAUCAAGAGGGAGGCCAAUCUAUAAAGGGGAGAGGUGUCCAUCUCUCUGCCUCUCACUCUUUGGCCUUGGAGGGCACGCCCACUUCUGGUGGCCGCACUUCCGUCUGAUGGUAGCUCACCGGUUGCAGACUUUUUGCUGACUCCUCCUGCCCCCCGGUCUGCCAGAACCCGGUGUUUGAUGCAUCGUUAACGCUCAUUAACAGAUCGCUUGUCGGACGGUAUGGUUAGCCAUCACGGCUAACCAUAGCCUCAGGCUCCAUCUGCUCUGCCUGGUCUGGUGUGGUGCUGCACGGUGCAGCUGUCCUGGGUCUGUGUGGCCUGCUGUCCUUUCCAGCCACUGCCGUGGCUGCAACAGCUCAUCGAUCUGCGUUUGGGAGCGGUUGCUGAGAGCUGCCAGUGGUGGUCCCUGGCGUCCUGGUGGUGGUUUCCCCUUUUGAGUGUGUGUGCUGUGCAUCCCCUUUUUUUGUUUUUUUAGUUUUUCACACAUGGUCGGGGUGAUUUUGUUUUCCCUGGAUUCCUCUCACUCCCGACUCACGUCCCCCUACUGGUAAGCCUCGGCACCGAUUAGG